rnacentral:lncRNA from 1 species
GACAAUUUUCAGAAAUCCACAGCCAAGAGUCAGGAGCAGGCAGCAGUCAGGAGCCUGGCUACAGGCCCGUCUGCCCCCACCCCUCAUCGGGCGCGCCUCCCUCAGCUUCUCCGUCCAUGACCACACGGAAGAUGGUGGCCCUGCCACUGCCAAGUCGCUGUCGCCGUACCCCUGGCCUUUAGGACUCAUGGUCACCGUUGAAUUCACUUCACUGAGAAAGAGAAUCUGACGGAACAAGCUUGGGAUAUAAAUAUGUUUGUUCUAGUGGAGCUAAACAUUUUUCCUUCGUCUUCUUUGUUCAUUUUGAGAACUUUAAAAACACAGAAUAUAAUUACCUGUGUUUCCUCCCCAGAUUUCGUGGCUGUUAACAUCCAUGUUUUCCCAGUCUUUUUGCCUCUUGUGGUAGAUUGUAUUACUGUUCCUGAAGUAUUCACACCCUUUCCUGAGAGAACUGCAUGUGCCUCCUCCCGCUGCCACAUGGUUUUCAGGACACAUCCCGUCCAUGGCAGGUUGGCCCCCUGACCUGUUCUGUGGGUUGGAGGCUGUGGGCCGCGGGCUAGCCGACGUCUGCACAGCCAGGGCGCCCCACGCUUCUUUUCUGCCUUCCGUGAAUACAGCUGGUUCUGCCGCUUCAAUCUCCCAAUAAAGAACGCACAGCGCGAGCACCAGCCAACCUGCAGCUGGGCCGACAGGAGCAAGAAACACACCUUUGUGAUUGGACGCUUUCCGGGUUUGGGGAUGUUUGUUCCUGUGGCGUCACCCACCUAUGUACUUCCUGUCUGAAAAAGCCGCCCUUGUGCAGGGCCUGCCCGGUGGCACAGCAGUUAAGUUUGCACGUUCUGCCUCAGAGGCCCGGGGUUCGCCAGUUCAGAUCCCGGGUGUGGACACGGCACUGCUUGUCAAGCCGUGCUGUGGUAGGCGUCCCACAUAUAAAGUAGAGGAAGAUGGGCAUGGAUGUUAGCUCAGGGCCAGUCUUCCUCAGCAAAAAGAGGAGGAUUGGCAGUAGUUAGCCCAGGG